rnacentral:rRNA from 1 species
CCAAUAGCGUAUAUUAAAGUUGUUGCAGUUAAAAAGCUCGUAGUUGAAUUUCGGGAUCAAAUUGUCGGUCGUAUCUUAGUACGUACUGGUAUUAUUGGUUCCUCCCUUCUGAAGAACCACGAUGUCAUUAAUUUGGUGUCGUAGGGAAUCAGGACUGUUACUUUGAAAAAUUAGAGUGUUUAAAGCAGGCUCACGCUUGAAUACAUUAGCAUGGAAUAACGGAAUAGGACGUUUGAUUCUAUUUUGUUGGUUUCUAGGAUCGACGUAAUGAUUAAUAGGGAUAGUUGGGGGCAUUAGUAUUCAAUUGUCAGAGGUGAAAUUCUUGGAUUUAUUGAAGACUAACUACUGCGAAAGCAUUUGCCAAGGAUGUUUUCAUUAAUCAAGAACGAAAGUUAGGGGAUCGAAGACGAUCAGAUACCGUCGUAGUCUUAACCAUAAACUAUGCCGACUAGGGAUCGGAUGAUGUUAAUUUUUUAAUGACUCAUUCGGCGCCUUACG